AGGGUAAUAGCUUAGUGGUAGAGCAAGCGCUUAGCAGGUACGAGGUCCUGGGUUCAAACCCCAGUACCUCCA
rnacentral:tRNA from 1 species